AUUGAACGCUGGCGGCAGGCCUAACACAUGCAAGUCGAACGAGUGGCGGACGGGUGAGUAAUGUCUGGGAAACUGCCCGAUGGAGGGGGAUAACUACUGGAAACGGUAGCUAAUACCGCAUACCAUCGGAUGUGCCCAGAUGGGAUUAGCUAGUAGGUGGGGUAACGGCUCACCUAUGCGACGAUCCCUAGCUGGUCUGAGAGGAUGACCAGCGACACUGGACCUGAGACACGGUCCAGACUCCUACGGGAUGCAGCAGUUGGGAAUAUUGCACAAUGUGCGCAAGCCUGAUGCGGCCAUGCGGCGUGUAUGAAGAAAGCCUUGGGGUUGUAAAGUACUUUCAGCGAGGAGGCGUUACUCGCAGAAGAAGCACCGGCUAACUCCGUGCCAGCAGCCGCGGUAAUUC
rnacentral:rRNA from 1 species